AUGAGCUUUCGGAAGUGCAAGGAACCGUGUACCAGGUUCAUCAUGAAGGGAGACACUCACGAAAGGUGCGUAGUCUGUUUGGGAUUACAUCACGCGCAGUCUGCGCUUAGUGGCCUUUCCUCUUGUCCCCAUUGUGAUGGCCUGCGACUUAAAGUACUGCGCUCGAGGGUAGAAGUGUUUUCCAAGGUCGCCCCCGCGUCCAACCCCCGCCGUGUGUGCCCUCCGCUAGAGAGCGCUAUUGGACCGUUUUCGCGCAUCCAACCCUCUCACUGCAGUCCCCACGCUCUAACAUUGACUGUCUCGCCGCAAAAGGCGCUUCGAGCAGCAUUGGAUCGAGUAACCAUGUCAGGCGUUUCCUCAGACACUCUGCGCGAUUCAGCCUUCAGAAUCCGAGGAACGCUACAAGGGUCUGGCAAAGACGGCCCGUUUAUGACGGCUCAUACAGCCGCCGCUUUUUCGCUAGCGGCAGAGCCCGAUGUUCAUCUUGUUGGAUUAAUUCCUGCCGUGGACACGCUUCAGGAUUAUACACAACGAGAUGCAACGGAUUUGACGCACGCGCUUCCCCGGCUUACGGACGCCGCGAGCUUUCCGUAUUCGGGCAUGUUAACGCGUAUGAAAACGCUGAAAAAGGCGGAAACCUUGAAACCACUGACGCUAUUUCGGGCCGCGUGGGAACGCUUGCCCGGCAUUUCGCAAUGGGUGUUACGCACGAUUCGUCUCGGAUACACCAUUCAGUUUCGAAAAGGCCCGCCUCCUUUCCGCGGAAUUCUUCCCACGGUUGUGAAACCAGAGGAAGUCGCGGUGCUGCGGCAAGAAAUGACAGCUCUGCUGAAGAAAGGGGCUAUAGAAGAAGUACACCCCUCUCAGAUGGAGUCAGGUUUUUACAGCCGCUAUUUUGUUGUACCAAAAAAAGGGGGCGGUUUGCGACCCAUAUUGGAUCUACGCCGUUUGAAUCUUGCACUCAGGACGAGCAAAUUCAGGAUGUUAACGGUAAAGUCCAUUUUGUCUCAGAUUCAACCAAACACUUGGUUUGUCACGAUCGAUCUGAAGGAUGCAUAUUUUCAUAUUCAGAUCAUCAAGAGACACAGGAAGUUCCUCAGAUUCGCUUUAGAGGGCAAAGCGUAUCAAUACCGUGUUCUUCCGUUCGGCUUAGCCCUGGCUCCCCGAACUUUUUCAAAAUGCAUGGACGCAGCUCUGGCCCCGUUGCGGCUCCAGGGCGUUCGUGUGUUGAAUUACUUGGACGAUUGGCUGGUGCUAGCUCAAUCACAGACUCAAGCACUCUCUCACCGAGAUUUAGUGCUGAAUCAUUUAAGAAGCCUGGGCUUAUGCACGAAUUUCCAGAAGAGUGUUUUAAUCCCCUCUCAACGGAUAACCUUUCUGGGAAUAGAUUUGGACUCUCGCGCGAUGACAGCCAGACUAUCUCUCCCGCGCGUUCAGUCUCUCACGUCAUGCGUGCGUCACUUCAAAGUAGGCCGCACAGUGACGGUGAGUUUGUGUCUCAGGCUGUUAGGUCUGAUGGCAGCGGCAUCCCCUGUAAUUCGUCUGGGCUUACUUCACAUGCGCCCUUUUCAGUGGUGGACGAAAAGUCAGAACAUUUCACCCCGUUGUUUUCCGCAUCGUACGAUUUCGGUGACACGGAGGUGUGUUAUGUCAAUAAAACAGUGGAUGUCAACCGAGUUCCUUCUAGCCGGAGUUCGGCUGGGGAUUUGUGCUUCCCGAGAGACUGUCACGACGGACGCGUCUUUGACCGGUUGGGGAGCUGUUUGUCAAGGGCGCCCAGCUCAUGGAGUGUGGACAGCGACACAACGCGGUUGGCACAUAAACAGGUUGGAACUACUGGCAGUUUUUCUAGCUCUCCAGUAUUUCUCAAAUCUGCUGACCGGCCGUCAUGUACUACUCAGGUCAGACAACAUGGCGGUUGUGUCAUACCUGAAUCAUCAAGGAGGGUUACGCUCUCGCCCCCUGUGCAGGCUGGCGAGGAGUAUUCUUCUUUGGUCUCGGAACAGAUUUCUAUCGAUCCGAGCAGUUCAUGUCCCCGGACGUUUGAACGUCGGAGCGGAUCUGCUAUCCAGACAGACUCUGGAGCAGGGGGAAUGGAGAUUACACCCACAGACGGUGAGCCUUUUAUGGCAGAUAUUCGGAGAGGCGAGAGUGGACUUAUUCGCGUCGAGCACGACUACGCAUUGCCCGCUGUGGUUCUCCCUAUGCCCUCCAUCGCCCCUAGGCCUGGAUGCGUUAGCUCACGAUUGGCCCAGGACCAGCUUGUAUGCUUUUCCUCCAAUUCGUCUAAUUCCAGCGGUGUUGUCCAGGAUACGGCUGGACAGAGUGGAGCAGCUGCUGCUGGUGGCUCCGUGGUGGCCCACACAGCCGUGGUUUGCGGAACUGGUCAGUCUAGUAGCGGGCUCUCCAUGGGAGAUUCCCCUCAGGCAGGACUUACUAUCGCAAGCACGAGGGAUGAUUUGGCACCCAAGGCCAGAUCUGUGGAAACUGUGGGCGUGGCCUCUGAGCGGAGUGAGUUAA
ensembl:lncRNA